rnacentral:lncRNA from 1 species
UGAAACAAGUUGGUAUAAAGACGGAACCACUGUUUCACCUUUUUUUUCUGAAACAUUAAGCUUGUUAAUUUCUAUUUCCUAAAUGAAAACAAGCUUAAUUAAAAUCUGAAUUUAAUUUUAAUUAUGGUACUAAAUUAUUAAUAAAUCAAAUUAAUGUAUUUAAAUCAUAAUCUAUUGCUUAAAUAAUAAAGUAAUUAAUUAAUUUAUUAUUUAUAAUUAAUUAGCUAAUUAAAAUUAAAAGUUUAAUAUUUUAUCUAGUUAAUUUCUUUACUGAUUAUCUAACUAAAUGAUUUACUAACUAAUUAAAAAGUAAAAUUACUUUUUAUCUCUAAUUAAUUAAUUAAUUAAUAUAUUUUUAUUAUCUUAUACAAUAUUCAUAGCUAAUAAAUUUAUUAAUUUAUUAAAUUAUUUGUAAUUAAUAUUUUGAUGUUAAUUAAUUAGAUAAAAUAUUUUUAACCUAAAAUUAUAACUCUUAUUCCUCCUAUUCCAAUCUAAUCAUCCAAAUACUAAUUACCUUAAUUCUAGGAACAAUACAAUUUUCAUCCAAAAUAUAAAACUGCUCUAAUUCCUGCGUAUACUUAAACUUAUACCUAUCUCUGAAAUAAGUAGUUCUUUCGUAUAUCCGAACCAAACGCAGGAGGAUACGCUUAGUCCUCUAUUACCGCCGUGUCUCAUAUUCUGAAAGAUCCUAUUAUUUUU